rnacentral:tRNA from 1 species
GGGGGAGUGGCUCAGUGGUAGAGUGUGUGCUUAGCAUGCACGAGGUCCUGGGUUCAAUCUCCAGUGCUUCCA